rfam:Oryza rufipogon genomic scaffold, chr05
UAAAAAAUAAACCGCGGAUUUGCGUGCCAACGUUUGACUGUCCGUCUUAUAUAAAAUUUUUUUAUAAUUAGUAUUUUCAUUGUUGUUAGAUGAUAAAACAUGAUAAAUACUUUAUGCGUGACUUAUCUAUUUAUUUUUUUCAUAAUUUUUUCAAAUAAGACGGACGGUUAAACAUUGGACACGGAAACCAGGGUUUGUCUUUUU